GGGCCCGCACAAGUGGUGGAGCAUGUGGUUUAAUUCGAAGAUACGCGCAGAACCUUACCAACACUUGACAUGUUCGUCGCGACUCUAAGAGAUUAGAGUUUUCGGUUCGGCCGGACGAAACACAGGUGCUGCAUGGCUGUCGUCAGCUCGUGUCGUGAGAUGUUGGGUUAAGUCCCGCAACGAGCGCAACCCUCACUUUUAGUUGCCAUCAUUAAGUUGGGCACUCUGAAAGAACUGCCAGUGAUAAGCUGGAGGAAGGUGGGGAUGACGUCAAGUCCUCAUGGCCCUUACGUGUUGGGCUACACACGUGCUACAAUGGUAUCUACAACAGGAAGCAAGACUGCGAAGUUAAGCAAAUCCCUAAAAGAUACCUCAGUUCGGAUCGGGGUCUGCAACUCGGCCCCGUGAAGCUGGAAUC
rnacentral:rRNA from 1 species